AUAUAUAUAUAUAUAUAUAUAUAUAUAUAUAUAUACAUAUAUAUACAGCACAGACCAAAAGCUUGGACACACCCUCUCACUCAAAGAGCCCUCUCCAUUCUCAUGACCACGAAGGCAU